rnacentral:rRNA from 1 species
UACGGGGGUGGCAAGCGUUGUUCGGAAUUACUGGGCGUAAAGGGCUCGUAGGUGGCCAACUAAGUCAGACGUGAAAUCCCUCGGCUUAACCGGGGAACUGCGUCUGAUACUGGAUGGCUUGAGUUUGGGAGAGGGAUGCGGAAUUCCAGGUGUAGCGGUGAAAUGCGUAGAUAUCUGGAGGAACACCGGUGGCGAAGGCGGCAUCCUGGACCAACACUGACACUGAGGAGCGAAAGCCAGGGGAGCAAACGGG